UAUCUUUUAAUCAAAACUGAACUUAAUUAGACAUAUUUUUUUGGAGCUGGAUAACACCAAGAAAUAUCAUGUUUGAUCCAAUCAGUUUUAUUUGCAUUUGUUUUGUAAUUAAGUCUUCUUUAAAUUAAUUUUACUUAUAAUUAAUAUUUUAAAAAUCAUGAAACUAAACAUGUGUAAAAUAGUCACUUUUUAUAUAAUACACUUACAAAAAAUUGCAAGAUAGUCUAAUAUAAUAGGCAUUGUUUUAAGAAAAAUGCAAUUUUAUGAAAUAGUCAAACCAUAACAAACAAAUUUGUAAAUACCAGUUUGCUUCGUCAUAGUUGCUGAUACUUUUUUUCCCUGGACAGAAUAACAUCACACCAUUAUUUGUUAGCAAUGAGAUAUGAUUUUUGAAAAGCUACAAAAAUAAAAUGGAGAUCCUUUAUAUUAAAAAAAAAAUAAAAUAAAAUGGAGAUCCUAAAAGAGUAACAUUGUGUUAAAAAAAAUUCUAAAAGAGUAAGGUAUAUAGGAAAGAAAAUCAGAGAAUAACUAAGGAUACCACUUGUUUUCAUUCUUGUUUCCUUGUACUAAUGUUUGCAGAGAAGGCCGAUCUCCCUUUUGUUUUGUUUGUCUAGUUUCCUCUUCC
rnacentral:lncRNA from 1 species